AUAACCCAAAGGAUGAGAUGAGAAAUGUUAUGGGGUGGCAGAAAGAGAAAGAUGGGCUUGUGUAGCAUAUUGGUCAACCUGACAGUGGACAACAUUUCAUGGACAACAGAAUAGAAUAAAUCCUCCGGUUGCACAAUCACUUGAAGUUCGGCAGAGAAGGAUUUUGUACCUAGGAGAGCUUGCCUAGGCGUCGUACACAAAGGUGGAACCUGUUGGUGAUGCAACUGCGAAUGACGACGCGUACGACGCGAAGGAGCUCUGGGCUAGGACUGCCAUCUAGCAUGCUGACACCAACUCCGGUUAAGCCCUCCACCUUUCAUCGCCCGAUACCUUCAGUACUGCCGCACCGCCACACCACCACCUCCAGGACCUACUUCACCUCCCCAUCCUCUCAUAAGUGCUGUGGAGAAGGAAACUGUUACUAUUGUUUGAACAAAAUUUCAGGCCCUGACACUUAAUUGGAAUGCAUAAGUUGCUAUGUUCAUGCACUUUUGGUAAUCCUCCAAUUCUUCAAUCAAUCUUGAGUGCUAAAACCAUAAACUAUAGUUAAGAUUUUGAAAUGCUUUACUAAUGAUAACUUGAUGUGAAAUCAUUUUUACUUGAUUGGCAGACUAUCGUUUUCUCAUCUGAAAUCGGCCAUGGAUUUGCAAAUUAAUGAUAGAAUCUCAUGGCAUCAGUGUAUGCAAAAUCUGAAAGUGCAAUGCUGUCAUGUGCUUAAAUACUUCUAUUUCUGUUGGUACUUCCUCAAAUGAUUAACUAUGUUUUGUAUAUCCCCAUUUCAUAUAAUUUUGUCAAACUGGUGUUCUGCUAUGACCUUGGACAUGCUUUUAUUAUGGCAAUUGGAAUAUCUGCACUAAUUCUCCGUCCAAUGCCUGUGCAUCUGAUCUAGAUAUACUGUACAUCAGUAUAAUUUUGCAAGUAAUGCACUGAACGAACAGCACUCCCAUUUUUCAAAUGUGUCUUCCUUGAACAAAGAAUUACAGUAUCCCAAUAUAUGUCUUAUGUCUGAUUCACCCAGAGUUCUAUAUAACAUUGCACCGAUCGAUUGUAUUUGUUCUCCAUGUUUUCACCUCCUCCUAAAGCAGUUCCUGACUUCCUGUCUGUCUCUAUCUAUAGGUACUGUAAUGUUAUUUUUUUUCCUGUUAACAGAACAAGAAAAGGACUUGACCAGAUUUUUUUGAAGCCACUCAGAAGGAUAAGCAUGAGGGCAGUACUCAUAGACUGGCUUGUGAAAGUAGGCAUAUCUACUUUGAAAAGUUCUAGAAGCUAAGCGUGCAAAAACGAUUCUUCUAACCAAUUGCCUUCUUGUCUUUUAUCAAUCGGGACAUAGAAGAAUAUCUCCAUCAGGUCACAUACGAAUAUUGUCUUGUUCCUAGAACCUUAUACAUUAGUCAAUUACACUGACCCAUGCCUGACUCGCAAAGAGAUCAAUUGACAAGAGUACAGUUGGCGUCACCUGCUUGCUUAUAGCUGUGCAAGAACCAUUGAGUUCAUUUUUAGCUCUUACUUUAUAUUAAAGUUCCUAUUUCUUGGUUUCUGAUAUGCUGUAAAGAUGAUUAUAUAGAUAAGUAGCUAAUGUCAAGCAUCUAAACAUGAAUAUGCAGCUCUGCACUAAAGUGUAUCCUCUAUAAAAAUGUAUGUGCAGGCUUCAAGACUUAAAACCAAUGUAUAAGAUGGCAAAAUGUUUUUUGCUCUGAUCACUUUAUGGUAACACAUAAAUUGGUAUUCUAGAUUUGUAUCUAGAAUUCUAGAUCACAGUGUAACAAUAAUUUCGAAUAUAUAUAUGUUAUUCUAACAUCACUAGGUUUCAUAAUUAGCUAACUAUAGUUCAGUAAGAUUAUAGGGUAUACUUGAAAUGGAACAAUUUGUCGUUUUAUGUGUGCUAUAGGGAAAUCAUGCAGCGUCUAACUUUUCUAUCAAGAUACACACUUCUAUUUGGAUUCGGUGAUACACUCCUAUUUGUGUUUCUAACCAAAACACAGGCACUCAUUUGUUGUCCCAGUCUUUAGAAUAGGUAGCUGAAUGUUUGUCAUAAGUUCAUCUUAGUUGCUCAUGUUCAGAUACACAUCAGCUUUCCAUUAUUAUUUUUCAGCUCAUCUUCCACCAGCUCAGUGAUGUAGAUAGUACAGUAAUGCAUUGUCUGAUACAGGGGUAUCGUCGAGGAGUACUGGGAUUUACCAUUGGCAAUGAAAGUGGUUUCUUUAUUGCAGCUGAAGCGACUUUCCAGUGCUCUCCAUGCUGAAGCACAAGCCAUGCUACAUGCAGUGAUUAUCGAUUCUCCGAUGGGCUGUCAAAGUGUCAUAUUUGAAACCGAUUCGGUGGUGUUUAACAGGUUAUCGCUUCUGUAGAUUAUGAGUUUCCUUUCUAGGAGCCAUCUUUAGAGACAUUAAGUUUCAUUUGCAUCUUGGUUUCAAUGAUAUUCUACUCGCUUUAGUUGUAGAUGGUGUACUUAUGUAAACUAGCCAUUAUGAAAACUUGGCUUCUCCAGUUUCCGGAAUUCCUAAAAUACGAUGUAGCUGGCUAGAAAGAAUGUGGAGGUGUUCCUUUAAAAAUACAACGCAAUUGCUCUAUUUGUACCAAAAAGAAUGUGGAUUUGGUUAACAAUGGCAUUUGUGCACCUUCAUAUUCACUCCAAUGUCCACAAU